AUACGGAGGGUGCAAGCGUUAUCCGGAAUCAUUGGGUUUAAAGGGUUCGUAGGCGGGUCAAUAAGUCAGAGGUGAAAUCUUGCAGCUUAACUGUAAAAUUGCCUUUGAAACUGUUGACCUUGAAUUACUGUGAAGUGGUUAGAAUAUGUAGUGUAGCGGUGAAAUGCUUAGAGAUUACAUAGAAUACCGAUUGCGAAGGCAGAUCACUAACAGUAUAUUGACGCUGAUGAACGAAAGCGUGGGUAGCGAACGGGAUUAGAAACCCCGGUAGUCC
rnacentral:rRNA from 1 species